CCCUUUCCUUUCUCAGCAAAAUCCAAACUUUGCUCAGCCAUGGCAGACCUUGCCAUAUUAUUUUCGCACAAGCUUCCUCUCAUCUCCUUGUCGUCUUCUCCACUCACUCUUUUCGUCCCUCUCAUCUCUCCACCUCCAGCAAAACCAAACCCUCCUUUAACCUUAUACAGGCUUAUCUAACCAUUUCUAUACAGAAAUCGUCUCCAUCGUUCUGUCGUUCUGAACAAAAGAGAAUUUCCCCUUUCUACCAUUUUGCUUUGGUCUUUCGAUGGCAACAGGUUUGUUGUGCCAUUUGGGCGAAAAACGGCCACCCACAAAUCUCUGCUAUGUUAUUCCAAUCUGUGACCCCUUUUUGGAUUUUUGUUGAAUUUGAAUUUUGAAUACCCAAAACCCUAGCCUUGGUCCCCUAUAUAUAUCAUCUUAUGCCUCAGCCGAAAAAGGAGACGGACGAUACAGACCCUUGCCCUCUAUCCAUUUACAAUUUCUCAAUCGAUUUAUCCCACAAAAAGACUAAAACUUUAGCUGGCUAGAACUUUCAAUAUUUCGUUCGAACUCAUUCGGCUUGAGAUUCGGAUCUACUCGUAACGAGAGGGUAGAUUCGAGACCCGACGCCCCAUUUCACUGUACACAAAACAGAUUUUGGACGAAAUUUGGAUUGACGCCAAGCGAGCAUAAGGCGCCAUCGAGGUACAGGCGCACUUGGUGAUACGCCGCCAGUCUAGGGCUCGGAUUCUGCUAUUCUGAAGAGCUCCUUCGAUCCGGAGCAAAUACUUUUGGUAUAUAUCUUCUGUUAUCUGUAGACUCUGUAUGUAUGGUAUUUUGGGGUACGGCGGGGCCCUGUCCCGUCAUAUGAUUCGGUAUGUCUGUAGAGGCCUGUAGAUAGAUGUGUGGGUUACGGGUUUCGUCUGUAUGUUAGCCUUAUCGGCUUAUCUGUAAAUGUCUGCAUGUUCAGGUAUAUACAUAUAUAUGUUUGCGCGCGUGCCGUAUCUGUAUCGGCCUACUUCUGUAACAGCUGUUUUAAAAAAAAAAAAAUCUGUAUGAUACGAAAUUCGGUCAGGUAGGUAUGUACGGGUACCCAGUUAGGGUACCAGUCGCGGCCCACGGGGUUGGGUCUUGACAUAUACACCUCAUGAGUGUGUAUAUAUAAGGUAUACUUAAGAUAUGCAUAGAAUAUAUACAAUCUGCUGGUUUGUUUGAGUUUAUAUUUCAUAUGUUUAAUAUAAUUCAUUGAUCGUAUACUAAUCUUUUCUUUCAUUUUUUUGCAUGAACCUCGCAUACGAGUCUUGGACUCGUCAUCUCCCGCAUUCGGUGUUGGGCCAUAGCCCAACGUGAUCUUCCCCUCUCUUGUCUAGCCUGCCCACAACAACAAAAUAAAAAAGGGACUUUCUGGGCCAAAGCCCAAUAACAAAAUAGGCUGCAGCAGCAGUCCUAAAAAAUGGACUGAUCAAUUUGCUCUUCUUUCCUUCUAUCUUAUCUUUUGUUGUGUAUUUUUUAUUUACCUUGUGUGACUAACACUUUAUUUUUGCCUCUUAGCUUAUACGAAUUAUAGAGAAUUAGUACGGGUAGUUGUAGAAACAAUAAGUAGUCAUCUUAAGGGAAAACUAUUAGUAAUUCCACCGGAUUUGUUUUUUUUUUUAAUUUAUUUUGUCUAUUUCUAAAAUUGUUUAUAGUACUUAUAGUAUUCACUUAUAUUACACAAUUGAUCUUCAAAGACGUGAAAUCGUGAACAUCUAUUUUGAAUUAAGAGUACGUCCUAUUCUUAUUAUCUUAGAAAAUUUUGAAAUAUCACUAAGACGUAAGUACGAACUCACGUAUACUUUAUCAACAACU